AGCUCGGGGAUUUGAACUUGCAACCUUCCGGUUACUAGUCCAACGCUCUAACCACUAGGCUACCCUGCCGCCACAUACAGUAUGUUAGUGUGGGUAUUCGAGCACAGCUCUUGUUUUUCAUCAAUGCUCAUUAAGAAAUGCUAGGCAAACAAGAAUUGUCUUGGGGUGUGGUUUGAUGUGGGUGUUUCUUGGAUGUGUUUUUACCAUUCAAUUGCAAUAAACAAGUGCAGUAGUGAAUACGUAAGGUAAGCCAGCUUUGCUGUAGAAAACAACGUUUUGAAGUUGAGGACUUCUCCCGAUGAGCAUUGAUACCAGAGCACGCUCAUUUUGGGCUACAGUUUGAAUCACAACGUACCAGAUGAGUGCGGAAUCUGACUUUGGACAUUGAAUUAUUAUUAUUUUGAAAAUGUUGUGUUCGAUCAAAACAUUCGGUUUUGGAAGUGAAUGUAGUGGUGCGUUUGGUUGGUGGAUCUGCACAUCUGUAAUGAGGUAGGCUGUGCAGGUAGCCCAGAUGAGAGUACGUCUGAGAUGGAUGAAGGUGAAAGGAUCAGUGAUGAGUCUACCUACAAGACUGUACACAUUUUUUGGUGGAAAAUGUUCGGAAAAGGAGACGAGGGUGGAUUUGCCACAGAUGGGGACAUAGAUGGAAGGGGAGAAUCUAGAAGAACAAACAGGCAGGGAGAAGAGGUACAGUAGUGUUUUUUUAUCUGAGACAACCAGUAAAAUGUUACAUCUGAUAAAGUUGUCAGAUGUACAGUGGUUCUUACUUUUGAAAGUUUUGAGCUUAUGCAGCCACCGUUUGUGGUAGAUGGUGGCAGAUUGUGGUAAAUUGCGUCUUGGCUGACACUUAAAUAACGUGCCAUAGAAUUAUGCGGAACCACACAAGAUGUGCUGCAAGAUGCUGCAACAUUUAAGCUUAUACGGUUCCAAAAAAGGACUGCAAAAACAUACGAAAUAGGUUGUUCCAACCUGUAAACGAACAGUAUGCUUUCAGUCGCGUGUACUUGCUCUUCACCUGUCAACCCAGGUCUGAUGGCUACCUGUCUUUUGCUCCCCCACCUCCAAGAGUGUUUCUCUAACGGAACGAUGACUGCGCUGGCGAUGAAGGUGGAGUAUGCUCCAGGUCUGAACCCCGGUCAGCUGACACUGAGCGACCCCGCCUCUACAGUGACGAUCGCUUCGCCUACUUCCACUUCACUGUGAACUCCUGUGGCACCACCAGGAAGAGUGUUUCUCUAACGGAACGAUGACUGCGCUGGCGAUGAAGGUGGAGUAUGCUCCAGGUCUGAACCCCGGUCAGCUGACACUGAGCGACCCCGCCUCUACAGUGACGAUCGCUUCGCCUACUUCCACUUCACUGUGAACUCCUGUGGCACCACCAGGAAGAGUGUUUCUCUAACGGAACGAUGACUGCGCUGGCGAUGAAGGUGGAGUAUGCUCCAGGUCUGAACCCCGGUCAGCUGACACUGAGCGACCCCGCCUCUACAGUGACGAUCGCUUCGCCUACUUCCACUUCACUGUGAACUCCUGUGGCACCACCAGGAAGAGUGUUUCUCUAACGGAACGAUGACUGCGCUGGCGAUGAAGGUGGAGUAUGCUCCAGGUCUGAACCCCGGUCAGCUGACACUGAGCGACCCCGCCUCUACAGUGACGAUCGCUUCGCCUACUUCCACUUCACUGUGAACUCCUGUGGCACCACCAGGAAGGUAAAAUGACUAUUACCCUGAGGUGAUGGGUACCGUGUAUUUAUGGACUGUUUGCUUCUGUAGGCUGUAAUAAGCAAUUCCCCUCUACUACAUAGUUUAUCAACAAUUCAUGCUGUAUGAGUGCAUUACGCAUCACAAUUGUAGCUAUUAGCUGUUAUAGGGUGGUUUUUUUCCUUCACCAAUUGCUCAAUACUUUGUAUACAGGGAAAAUGUGCCUCUACUAUCAGUGUGUCCACUCCACUGCUUGAAGUUUCCCCUAUUGAAGUUGAUUUUUACUGGAGUGGAGGAGUUUGUUUCUUUUUGGUUUAAAUGGGAAAAGUAAAGUUUGACAUUUUAAUUUGGUGAAUGGUGUACUAAGUCAUGCGAUAAGAUUAAGGAAUUUAGGUGAUUAUGAAGGGGAAAUUGUGUGGAGUUUUUUUAGGAGUAUUUUAGAGAAAGAUAGAUAAUAUAUAGAUACGGUGGAGGAAACUGUGGGUGAGUACUUUAAUUGAAAUUCUAUCAAAUGGAAAACUUGUAAUUCAUUAUGAAUUGGUAU